rnacentral:rRNA from 1 species
UACGGAGGAGGCAAGCGUUAUCCGGAAUGAUUGGGCGUAAAGCGUCCGCAGGUGGCAGUUCAAGUCUGCUGUCAAAGACCGGGGCUUAACUUCGGAAAGGCAGUGGAAACUGAACAGCUAGAGUAUGGUAGGGGCAGAGGGAAUUCCUGGUGUAGCGGUGAAAUGCGUAGAGAUCAGGAAGAACAUCGGUGGCGAAGGCGCUCUGCUGGACCAUAACUGACACUCAGGGACGAAAGCUAGGGGAGCGAAUGGG